rnacentral:rRNA from 1 species
GACGAACGCUGGCGGCGUGCUUAACACAUGCAAGUCGAACGAUGAAAAAGAGAGCUUGCUCUUUUUGGAUUAGUGGCGAACGGGUGAGUAACACGUGAGUAAUCUGCCCCGGACUCUGGGAUAAGCGUUGGAAACGACGUCUAAUACCGGAUAUGAAGCGUGGAGGCAUCUUCUGCGUUUGGAAAGAUUUUUUGGUUUGGGAUGAGCUCGCGGCCUAUCAGCUUGUUGGUGAGGUAAUGGCUUACCAAGGCGACGACGGGUAGCCGGCCUGAGAGGGUGACCGGCCACACUGGGACUGAGACACGGCCCAGACUCCUACGGGAGGCAGCAGUGGGGAAUAUUGCACAAUGGGCGCAAGCCUGAUGCAGCGACGCCGCGUGGGGGAUGAAGGCCUUCGGGUUGUAAACUCCUUUCGCCAUUGACGAAGCCCUUUGGGGUGACGGUAGGUGGAGAAGAAGCACCGGCUAACUACGUGCCAGCCGCCGCCGUAACAC